rnacentral:rRNA from 1 species
CUUGCUUGGGGUACUCGAGUGGCGAACGGGUGAGUAAUACGUGGGUAACCUGCCCUCUUCUUUGGGAUAAUCCCCGGAAACGGGGUCUAAUACCGGAUAUUCUGCUUCUGCCGCAUGGUGGGGGUUGGAAAGGUUUUUCGGUGGGGGAUGGGCCCGCGGCCUAUCAGCUUGUUGGUGGGGUGAUGGCCUACCAAGGCUUCGACGGGUAGCCGGCCUGAGAGGGUGACCGGCCACAUUGGGACUGAGAUACGGCCCAGACUCCUACGGGAGGCAGCAGCA